rnacentral:rRNA from 1 species
CGUGAAAUUGUUGAAAGGGAAGCGCUCAUGACCAGGCUUGGGCUUGGUUGAUCAUCCAGGGUUCUCCCUGGUGCACUCUUCCAGCCCAGGCCAGCAUCAGUUCGCUGUGGGGGAUAAAGGCUUUGGGAAUGUGGCUCCUCCGGGAGUGUUAUAGCCCAUUGUGUAAUACCCUGUGGUGGACUGAGGUUCGCGCAUCUGCAAGGAUGCUGGCGUAAUGGUCAUCAGCGACCCGUCUUGAAACACGG